AUGGACUCAGCGAUUACUGCCCGGAACGCCUCCGCGCUCAUAGAGAUCAUCAUGCACCCUCAGCCUGAGCCCAACAAUCCAUCGCCCGGGUACAUCGCUAUCCUGCACAUCGCGGAGCUGCGCAUUCUCAGAGGCAAUGCCGUGCGCCAGUUCUACGUCAACCUCAACGGCAAGCAAUGGUCCUCAGAUGCUAUCACACCGAAAUACCUCUCCAGUGGUGCCAUCUACGGUCCCAUUGUUCCCGACCAACAAGGCACCAUUAGCAUCUCCCUCGAACCCACCGCCGGCUCGACGCUGCUGCCGAUUCUCAAUGCCUUCGAGAUCUUCUCCAUCAUGCCCACCACUAAGGUCGACACCGAGUCCGAGGAUGGUACACCCUCGCCCACUCCCAUCACUAACGCCGGGUCCAAGGAUGGGGCAACCACUCCAGUCACUAACUCCAGCUCCGAGUCCCAGGGCGUUUGCAUUGGUGGCAGUUCAUGCAAGAAGAGCAAUAAGCUAGUCCUCUACAUAGCCGUCCCUAUAGCUGGGUUUGUGGUGGUAGUAUCGGCGGCAGUACUAAUCUUUUGCUUGCUAAGACGGAAGAAGCAAGGAUCAAGAUGA
rnacentral:rRNA from 1 species